rnacentral:misc_RNA from 1 species
UCCGGUUUGGCACCGGCGGUCUCCCAUGAGUCCCUUGCGGGAGGUUCUGGCUUUCACCAAAAUUUCCUAUGCAUGUCAAACCCAGGUAAGGUUCUUCGCGUUGCCUCGAAUUAAACCACACGCUCCGCUGCUUGUGCGGGCCCCCGCCUAUUCCUUUGAGUUUUAACCUUGCGGCCGUAGUCCCCAGGCGGUGAACUUAAUGCGUUAGCUGCGGCACUGAUCGGGUCAAUCCGACCAACACCUAGUUCACAACGUUUAGGGCGUGGACUAC